rnacentral:rRNA from 1 species
AUUACUGAGUUUACGCUCUAUAACCCUUUGUGAACAUACCUAUAACUGUUGCUUCGGCGGGCAGGGUCUCCGUGACCCUCCCGGCCUCCCGCCCCCGGGCGGGUCGGCGCCCGCCGGAGGAUAACCAAACUCUGAUUUAACGACGUUUCUUCUGAGUGGUACAAGCAAAUAAUCAAAACUUUUAACAACGGAUCUCUUGGUUCUGGCAUCGAUGAAGAACGCAGCGAAAUGCGAUAAGUAAUGUGAAUUGCAGAAUUCAGUGAAUCAUCGAAUCUUUGAACGCACAUUGCGCCCGCCAGCAUUCUGGCGGGCAUGCCUGUUCGAGCGUCAUUUCAACCCUCAAGCUCUGCUUGGUGUUGGGGCCCUACAGCUGAUGUAGGCCCUCAAAGGUAGUGGCGGACCCUCCCGGAGCCUCCUUUGCGUAGUAACUUUACGUCUCGCACUGGGAUCCGGAGGGACUCUUGCCGUAAAACCCCCCAAUUUUCCAAAGGUUGACCUCGGAUCAGGUAGGAAUACCCGCUGAACUUAAGCAUAUCAAUAAGCGGAGGAAAAGAAACCAACAGGGAUUGCCUCAGUAACGGCGAGUGAAGCGGCAACAGCUCAAAUUUGAAA